rfam:Picea glauca, whole genome shotgun sequence.
UCAUAUGUACAUGCAUAUAGUGUUAAUGCAUUGGAUCCCAUUAUAAUUCCACAAUUAAACAUGUUUGGGAUAAAUUAGUAUUUGGAUGGGUGACCUCCCAAGAAUUCCUAGUGUUAUACAUGCC